GACGAACGCUGGCGGCGUGCUUAACACAUGCAAGUCGAACGGUAAGGCCCUGCUUUUGUUGUUUUCUCGAGUGUCGCACGCGUGAGUAACACGUGAGUAACCUGCCCUUUACUUUGGGAUAACUUCAUUAAACUGGAGCUAAUACCGGAUAUGAGCUCCUGCUGCAUGUUUGGGUUUUUAAAGUUUCGGCGGUUGGGGAUUGACUCGCGGCUUUUCAGCUUGUUGGUUGGGUAGUGGCUUACCAAGGCUUUGACGGGUAGCCGGACUGAGAGGGUGACCGGACACAUUGGGACUGAGAUACGGCCCAGACUCAGACGGGAGGAAGCAGGGGGGAAUAGUGCAAAAUGGGCGGAAGCAGGAAGGAGGAACGCCGCGUGCGGGAUGACGGCCUUAGGGUUGGAAACCGCGUUAGACUGGGAAGAAGCGUGAGUGACGGUAAUGGGUAAAGAAGCAACGGCUAACUACGUG
rnacentral:rRNA from 1 species